GUCCCUGUGUCGCAAUAGAUACCGCGUUGAAUUUCCGAUCCAAAGGUCGUGGGUUCGAAUCUCGCCUGGGAUG